rnacentral:rRNA from 1 species
UACGUAGGGUGCGAGCGUUAAUCGGAAUUACUGGGCGUAAAGCGUGCGCAGGCGGUUUUGUAAGCCAGAUGUGAAAUCCCCGGGCUUAACCUGGGAAUGGCAUUUGGGACUGCAAGGCUGGAGUGUGGCAGAGGAGACUGGAAUUCCUGGUGUAGCAGUGAAUGCGUAGAUAUCAGGAGGAAUACCGAUGGCGAAGGCAGGUCUCGUGGGCUGAC